CGCUAGUCAACACCAAGUUAAAUUAGGCUAAGUGAUGUUGGGCCACAAUUGGGUCAACAUUUAAGUUUAUCGGGCUAAUAGUCCAACAGAAAGCAAAAUAAUCAAAGAUAUCUGGGGGAUGAUAUGAUCAUAGAUACAAUAAUAGGUUUAUACAAGAAAUAAGUCACUAAUCUCUCUUUGUUGCAGGUUUUUCAAGAUUCGAGGUUGA
rnacentral:lncRNA from 1 species